rnacentral:rRNA from 1 species
UACGAAGGGGGCUAGCGUUGCUCGGAAUCACUGGGCGUAAAGCGCGCGUAGGCGGAUCGUUAAGUCGGGGGUGAAAUCCUGGAGCUCAACUCCGGAACUGCCUUUGAUACUGGCGAUCUUGAGUCCGGGAGAGGUGAGUGGAACUCCGAGUGUAGAGGUGAAAUUCGUAGAUAUUCGGAAGAACACCAGUGGCGAAGGCGGCUCACUGGCCCGGUACUGACGCUGAGGUGCGAAAGCGUGGGGAGCAAACAGG